GAGAGUUUGAUCUGGCUCAGAACGAACGCUGGCGGCAGGCUUAACACAUGCAAGUCGAACGCCCCGCAAGGGGAGUGGCAGACGGGUGAGUAACGCGUGGGAACAUACCCUUUUCUGCGGAAUAGCUCUGGGAAACUGGAAUUAAUACCGCAUACGCCCUACGGGGGAAAGAUUUAUCGGGGAAGGAUUGGCCCGCGUUGGAUUAGCUAGUUGGUGGGGUAAAGGCCUACCAAGGCGACGAUCCAUAGCUGGCUGAGAGGA
rnacentral:rRNA from 1 species